GCAUAAGGAACAAGUAAGAAAGAUUCCCACCUGCCUUUGAAAAAGCAUCAUUCAACCACUGACAUUUUAAUGAUCCAUAACCUUUAGUCCAUUUGCUAUUGACUUCUUUAGAUGAAUCAGUGUAUCCUUCCUGCUCUUCCCCUUGGCAUAGUCACUGGCUCAGGGUUAAAGAGAAAACUUGCAUUAACUUUCCAUUUCUCCCCUGCACACACCAAACUCAUUUUAGCUCCCAAACUCCUUACUGUCAAGAAAGAUCAUAACAGACCAAAAGGUUCAUCAUGGAUGAGGCCAGAAAUGCUUUCCCUGCUCUAACAGCUUACGUUGGGUUGCUUUUUACUUCUCUAAACUUUCGUCAGAGAGCUUUCCUUGAGAUGUGUAAAUUCAACUGCUAUCCACAUACCUCAAACAUAAGAACCAGGGAAUGUUCAUGAUAAGUGGUGUGAUGUUCACCACGUGUCCUACAAAAAACAGAGGACCAGAGGGAAAGGUCUAACGCUCCAGGCCCAGCAGAGGCUGUCAGGAGGAAGGACGGAUGCUGUAGCUCUCUGCCUCCAAAGCAGCAGAGGAGGGCCAAAGACCCUGAAGGCGCUCAGCUGACCAAAACGAACUAGCAGGUCAGUGAGCAUUGCUUUAAAGGCCAAUUUUCCCAGGCAUAUUGGAGCUAGAGAGUAGCCACGUAAUUCGACUCUUCUACAAAUCCUCUCCCAAAAAUCUCUCGUCCCAUCCCACGUCAGCUCUGUUCUCCUCUCUUAAAAUUCAGGUAUCCUUAAGAGUGACACACUAAGUCCACAGGAUCUUAGUAUAAAUGAUGGCUAGUUUUCAUUGUCAUUUUUCUCUAUAACUGGAGAAAUUCCACUAAUAGGAGACUGCUGGGAGCUGGAAGGUGGAAGGAGGAAGGGAGGGGAAGCAAGGGAGGACAGACAGACUUAACACAACCUAGAGCAUGUGCAUGUCAGAAGUGUAUAAGGGCUUAUUAAUGAAGACAAGCGUAUCACUUAAUAGCAGUGUCUGUCAUUUAUCCAUAAGAUUCACACUCAUCCUAUCUUACUGGAAAAUAAACAAACUUAUAAUCCUUAGACAAAAACUCUUCCAAUAUCAGUCUUUCUGAAGGACUGAUGGGCUCCUGGGGCAGAACGCCGUGGCAUGGGGAUGAGGCCUUAGAGGAAUGAGUGG
rnacentral:lncRNA from 1 species